rnacentral:rRNA from 1 species
CAGCAGCCGCGGUAAUACCGAGGGUGCGAGCGUUAAUCGGAUUUACUGGGCGUAAAGCGUGCGUAGGCGGCUUCUUAAGUCGGAUGUGAAAUCCCUGAGCUUAACUUAGGAAUUGCAUUCGAUACUGGGAAGCUAGAGUAUGGGAGAGGAUGGUAGAAUUCCAGGUGUAGCGGUGAAAUGCGUAGAGAUCUGGAGGAAUACCGAUGGCGAAGGCAGCCAUCUGGCCUAAUACUGACGCUGAGGUACGAAAGCAUGGGGAGCAAACAGGAUUAGAUACCCGAGUAGUCCCUGUCUCUUAUAC